GCUGCGAUGGCCGAGGAAGUUUAAGCGUUGGACUCGAAAUCCAAUGGGGUUUCCCCCCGCAGGUUCAAACCCUGCUCGUAGCG
rnacentral:tRNA from 1 species